rnacentral:misc_RNA from 1 species
GUGAAUCAUCGAAUUUUUGAACGCAAAUUGCACUCUCUUCGGCGAGAAUGCCUGUUUGAGGGUCAGCCUGUAAAUAAUCGACAUCGUUGCUGUUUCGCGGGGGCGCUUGUCGGAACUUGGGUCAUCUUACAUUUUUCGGUUUUAAGCGACUUAAACUUUUCUUUUUGGUUUCAUGCAAGUCUCUAUGGAUUAUUUCUUUGGA